rnacentral:rRNA from 1 species
GACGAACGCUGGCGGCGUGCUUAACACAUGCAAGUCGAGCGGUAAGGCCCUUUCGGGGGUACGACGAGCGGCGAACGGGUGAGUAACACGUGGGUGACCUGCCCUCAGCUCUGGGAUAAGCCUGGGAAACCGGGUCUAAUACCGGAUAUGACUCCAUGACGCAUGUUGUGGGGUGGAAAGCCUUGUGCGGCUGAGGAGUGGGCCCGCGGCCUAUCAGCUUGUUGGUGGGGUGAUGGCCUACCAAGGCGACGACGGGUAGCCGGCCUGAGAGGGCGACCGGCCACACUGGGACUGAGACACGGCCCAGACUCCUACGGGAGGCAGCAGUGGGGAAUCUUGCGCAAUGGGCGAAAGCCUGACGCAGCGACGCCGCGUGAGGGAUGACGGCCU